AAUGGUGACACACUGAAGCUGCUGUGUAUAUAGCUCUCUGUGUUUCAGGUGGCUACUUGGACAAAAACCAGCCUAAAGUCUACGGCUCUGAAAUCCCUUUGGUAGGAACCCCGGGUCCAUUCCUUUAUUUUUCGAGAGCUCCAUUCCUGACUAUCCAGAUUUAUUUCUCCACUAUGGCCUAAGGAAACAUGAAGAAAGAGUAAGAGACACUAAGGGAUACGCUACUGAUGGAGAUCAUUUUUUAUGAAAAAAAAAAGCUUAUUAGAAUUUGAGAUAUUGUUCCCUAGAGGACUUCCAUGUGCCCUUGCUAUUUGCCAAGUAUUCUUCUUGGACGGUUGGGGAAAAAAUAUUUCUAUCUUUUUCCUUGAGCUGUGGAAGAGAAGCUGAGAAGCUAAAAAUUCUCUGAGGCCAAAUCUUCAGGCCCCAAAUGAUGAUUGGGAUGAAUAAUAUUGAAAGUUAUCACCGAUUCUUAGCAGACCAGUCUGAAGAUAUAUCAAACCUGCUGCCUCCAUUAUAAAAGGAAAUUUAGCAUCAGGUUAGAAUGAAUGCCAGAAAUUACCAUGAACAUUCCUAGAGCCUACCAGGAAGAAAACAUAAGUCUAGGAUUUUUGAGAAUUUUAAGGAGUGAAUAAUCUUUUUUGUAGGUUUGUAAAUGGGUUUGUAAAUGUAGGUUUGUAAAAUAUAAAUGUACAAUAAACAUAAUUUAUAACUGG